UCCAUAAUCACUGGUACACCAUCUGCAC
rnacentral:sRNA from 1 species